AACGAACGCUGGCGGCAUGCCUAACACAUGCAAGUCGAACGAGACCUUCGGGUCUAGUGGCGCACGGGUGCGUAACGCGUGGGAACCUGCCCUUAGGUUCGGAAUAACUCCCCGAAAGGGGUGCUAAUACCGGAUAAUGUCUUCGGACCAAAGAUUUAUCGCCUUUGGAUGGGCCCGCGUUGGAUUAGCUAGUUGGUAGGGUAAAAGCCUACCAAGGCGACGAUCCAUAGCUGGUCUGAGAGGAUGAUCAGCCACACUGGGACUGAGACACGGCCCAGACCCCUCGGGAGGGAGGAGGGGGGGAAUAUUGAAAAAGGGGGAAAAGCGGACCCAAGCAGUGCCGGGGGAGAAAGAAGGCCUUGGGGUUGGAAAAGCUUUUUUCCCGGGGAAGAAAAGGAGAGUCCGGGGAAAAAAAGCCCGGCCUAACCCGGUC
rnacentral:rRNA from 1 species